rnacentral:rRNA from 1 species
GAUGAACGCUGGCGGCGUGCCUAAUACAUGCAAGUCGAGCGAACGGACGAGACGCUUGCUUCUCUGAUGUUAGCGGCGGACGGGUGAGUCACACGUGUAUAACCUACCUAUAAGACUGGGAUCACUUCGGGAAACCGGCGCUAAUACCGGAUAAUAUUUUGAACCGCAUGGUUCAAAAGUGAAAGACGGUCUUGCUGUCACUUAUAGAUGGAUCCGCGCUGCAUUAGCUAGUUGGUAAGGUAACGGCUUACCAAGGCAACGUUGCAUAGCCGACAUGAGAGGGUGGUCGGCCACACUGGAAGUGAGACACGGUCCAGUGGCCUACGGGUGGCAGCAGUAGGGAUUCUGGCGCAAUGAGCGAAAGCCUGACGAAGCAACGCCGCGGGAGUGAUGAGGAUCUUCGGAUCGUAAAACUCUGUUAUUAGGGAAGAACAUAUGUGUAAGUGACUGUACACAUCUGGACGGUACCUGAUCAGAAAGCCACGGCUAACUACGUG